GCCACCAUCAGGUGGCCGCAGAGAAUAGGCCCAAGCGACUGUUUACCAAAAACAUAGGUUUCUGCUAAGUCGCAAGACGAUGUAUAGGAGCUGACGCCUGCCCGGUGCUGGAAGGUUAAGGGGAUCUGUUAGAGCAAUCGAAGCAGUGAACUUAAGCCCCAGUAAACGGCGGCCGUAACUAUAACGGUCCUAAGGUAGCGAAAUUCCUUGUCGGGUAAGUUCCGACCCGCACGAAAGGCGUAACGAUUUGGGCACUGUCUCAACAACAGACUCGGUGAAAUUGUAAUUCCGGUGAAGAUGCCGGAUACCUGCGACAGGACGGAAAGACCCCAUGGAGCUUUACUGUAGCUUGACAUUGGGUCUUGGUACUACAUGUACAGGAUAGGUGGGAGGCUUUGA
rnacentral:rRNA from 1 species